CUGCGCUCUCCUUCGCCUGCGGGCCGGCACUGCUCACCUCUCGUCCAGAGACAUGACGGGCACGCCAGGCGCCGCUGCCACCCGGGAUGGCGAGGCCCCCGAGCGCUCCCCGCCCUGCCGUCCGAGCUACGACCUCACGGGCAAGAACAAGGUGGUGACCGUGGAUGGCGUGAGAGUGAAGCUGCAGAUCUGGGACACCGCUGGGCAGGAACGGUUCCGAAGCGUCACCCAUGCUUAUUACAGAGACGCCCAGGCCUUGCUUCUGCUGUAUGACAUCACCAACAAAUCUUCUUUCGACAACAUCAGGGCCUGGCUCACUGAGAUUCAUGAGUAUGCGCAGAGGGACGUGGUGAUCAUGCUGCUGGGCAACAAGGUGAGUGGCUCCUGGGCAGGGUCAGCCCAGCCCUGCACUUCCUCAGCCCUAGCCAGCCCCAUAACCACCCAAGAACAGUUAUCUAGUCAUCCUUCCUGAAAAGGACUCUGCAGCCUCCAGCUCAGGGGUCAGACAUAUCUGGAGGCUUCUGCCCAUCCCAUCUGCCCCUUCCAGGGAAAGUCCAAGUUGUUGCCUGAGAAAUCAAGGGGUGCCCAGUUCUCAGCCCCCAUUAGAGCAGAGUGAACAGGGUCCCAGGUCAGUGGCUAAGACUGCAAAGGGUUAGCCCCAACUGCUGUCCUCUUCCAAGACUGGGUCACCACACCCUUUACCAAAAGUGAGAUCCUAGGGCUGGGAGCUACACUGGGCAGAAACCCUGGCCCCAGGCCAAUCACACCUGCCUGCAGUCCCUUGGGCCACCAGCAGAGGGCAGGCAAUGCCUGCUUCUGGGGCAAAAUAUGGGCCCGCUGGGGCCGAGGCCUCCUUCCCCGGAGUGACCCAUUUGGGCUUGACAGGCGGAUAUGAGCAGCGAAAGAGUGAUCCGUUCCGAAGACGGAGAGACCCUGGCCAGGGUAAGUGACUGUCUGUGGGACAGGGUGAAGAGUGGGGGCAACCUGAGGCUGGCCCUGAGGACACUCUCUCCCGGGCAGGAGUACGGUGUUCCCUUCCUG
rnacentral:sRNA from 1 species